UGAUAGAGGCGCGGGCUUCAUCAGUACCGGAAAUAUCAGGCUGGACCGCCGUUUCCGGGAAAGGGGAGACUGCCGAAGGAUGUUCUGCCGGUCCGGGCAGGAUGUUCUGGGAUACCGCAGAAGAUGCGGUGUACUGUCACGAAAUGUGGAGCGCUAUCUGU
rnacentral:ncRNA from 1 species